rnacentral:lncRNA from 1 species
UCUGCCCGCUGCUGUAGGACCGAGGACGAAGAGAGAGAGGGAGGCAGGAGCUAAGGGGGUGACGGUGGUUAGCUCGGCUAACUGCUGCGGCCGUCGGACUUCGGAGUGAGGCGACGGCAGGGUUGUGAGGGAGCCGGUGAAGGCGGCGUCCUUCAUCGACUGGAGGCGACGCGGAGGCGCGUUCGCCGGAGAUCGAAAGGGAGGUGGAGGGUGCGGCGGCAGUCCGCUUCUUCUGCUGCUGCCCGACCGAAGUUGGAGAGGGAGAGAGAGAGAGUUGGGGGCUAGGACGCCGGUGGUGGUGGCGUGAAGCCGCUGCCGUCGUCCGCUGGAUUUUCAGAAGGAGGCGACGGCGGAUCUGCCACGAGGACGCCGGAGGCGGCGGCGCUCCGCGGCGGCUGCGCCUGCUGCCGCCAGUUGAGAGAGAAGAGGGAGAGAGGGCUGAGCGGGGCUGCUGGCGACGCUGGGUGCGUGCGUCUGUGUGUGAGAGGCGAGAGAUGGGGGAGAGGGGAGUCAGGGGACGGCGGCGUGGCCGGCGGCGGCUAUGGAAGCCGGAGAGGAAGAGGGAAGCGCAGCAGCUGCUGCUGCGCCGUGCGUGUGUGUGUGAGGUGUGUGUGCGUGAGUUGUGUUUAAAGUGAAGAAGAAAGGGUUUGGAAGUUGGGCUUGAGCCUUGGGCCGACUUUAGUUUUUCUGUUGGGCCGAUUUUUCUUUCAGUUGGGCCAGUGUUUAAUUAAAUGGUUGGGACUCAUUUUAUUUAAACUUGGGCUGCCAUUUUUUUUAUUUUUGGGCUGCGAAUUUUAAAACAAAAACAUGGGCUUCCAUUUAAUUGUUAGACUUCUUUAAUUGAUUUAUCAAUUUAAUUCUUUAAUUUGGGUUUAAAUUAAUUAUUUUUGAAAAAGUUUGCA